rnacentral:rRNA from 1 species
AUUGAACGCUGGCGGCAGGCCUAACACAUGCAAGUCGAGCGGGGUUUUCGGACCUAGCGGCGGACGGGUGAGUAAUGCGUAGGAAGCUACCCGAUAGAGGGGGAUACCAGUUGGAAACGACUGUUAAUACCGCAUAAUGUCUACGGACCAAAGUGUGGGACCUUCGGGCCACAUGCUAUAGGACGCGCCUACGUGGGAUUAGCUAGUUGGUGAGGUAAUGGCUCACCAAGGCGACGAUCCCUAGCUGGUUUGAGAGGAUGAUCAGCCACACUGGAACUGAGACACGGUCCAGACUCCUACGGGAGGCAGCAGUGGGGAAUAUUGGACAAUGGGCGCAAGCCUGAUCCAGCCAUGCCGCGUGUGUGAAGAAGGCCUUCGGGUUGUAAAGCACUUUCAGUAGGGAGGAAGGGUGUUGUGUUAAUAGCACAGCAUUUUGACGUUACCUACAGAAGAAGCACCGGCUAACUCUGUGCCAGCAGCCGCGGUAACAC